rnacentral:tRNA from 1 species
CCCUGUUGCUCUUACGGUAAAGAAAUUGCCUGCAAUGCAGGAGAGUCAGGUUCAAUUCCUGGAUCAGGAA